rnacentral:rRNA from 1 species
UACGUAGGGGGCAAGCGUUGUCCGGAUUCAUUGGGCGUAAAGAGCGUGUAGGCGGCCUGAAAGGUCAGCUGUGAAAACUCGAGGCUCAACCUCGAGACGUCGGUUGAAACCAUCUGGCUAGAGUCCGGAAGAGGAGUGUGGAAUUCCCGGUGUAGCGGUGAAAUGCGCAGAUAUCAGGAGGAACACCGGUGGCGAAGGCGGUUCUCUGGGCAUUACCUGACGCUGAGGAGCGAAAGUGUGGGGAGCGAACAGG